rnacentral:lncRNA from 1 species
AGACUCCUUAUGAGGAAUGUGAGAAGCCCAAGCCAACUCCUGCUCCUUACCACUACAUAUCUCCUCCGCCACCAACUUAUGUCUAUAAAUCACCACCACCUCCACCACCAACUUACCUAUACAAGUCACCGCCACCACCAGUGAAACCUCCACCAAAGCCGUAUUAUUACGUCUCCCCACCACCACCAACUUAUGUCUAUAAAUCACCACCACCUCCACCACCAACUUACCUAUACAAGUCACCGCCACCACCGGUGAAACCUCCGCCAAAGCCGUAUCAUUACGUCUCCCCACCACCACCUACUGUAUCUCCACCGCAUUAUUACUACACAUCACCACCACCACCGGUGAAACCUCCGCCAAAGCCGUAUCAUUACAUCUCCCCACCACCACCGGAGAAAUCUCCACCACCACCCUAUCCUUACAUCUCCCCGCCACCGCCGGAGAAAUCUCCACCACCACCCUAUCCUUACAUCUCCCCACCACCGCCGGAGAAAUCUCCACCACCGCCCUAUCCUUACAUCUCCCCGCCACCGCCGGAGAAAUCUCCACCACCACCCUAUCCUUACAUCUCCCCGCCACCGCCGGAGAAAUCUCCACCACCACCCUAUCCUUACAUCUCCCCGCCACCGCCGGAGAAAUCUCCACCACCACCCUAUCCUUACAUCUCCCCACCACCGCCGGAGAAAUCUCCACCACCACCUUAUCCUUACAUCUCCCCGCCACCGCCGGAGAAAUCUCCACCACCACCCUAUCCUUACAUCUCCCCGCCACCGCCGGAGAAAUCUCCACCACCACCUUAUCCUUACAUCUCCCCACCACCGCCGGAGAAAUCUCCACCACCUCCAUACCACUACACCUCACCUCCCCCACCCGAAAAAUCACCUCCUCCACCAGUCUACACUUAUGCUUCUCCCCCACCCCCAACUCACUACUGAGCUCCAACAGCUCCGCCACUUUCCACCUUCAA